UACCUCACAAAUGGGUACUGAUGCUU
rnacentral:piRNA from 1 species